CACAUUCAGUCCAGACGAUAAUCACGGCCCAGAACAGCAACACUGUGACACUGCAGAGUCCUGCCAUAAUCACAGAGACACGAGAGGAUCACCACAGAGUCCAGACAAUCCAACAGCGCCCCCCGAGGACCCAAAGAUCACAGCAUGCAGCACUGACUGUCAGGCCUGUCUCCUGCACACAGAGAUUUCUCCACAUUUAAUGAAUCUUUUGUGGAUAUUUUUUCCUGUAGAUGCUGAGAGCUUCUUCCCAGUUUUAUGCUGAGAAAUAUUACUUGGAAACUGGUGCAGCUUUUUGCACAGCGGUGAAACUUUAUCCUUCAUUUGCUGGAGACAUUUUCCAAGUUGGGCCAAUUAUUCAUAAAGUGC